rnacentral:misc_RNA from 1 species
GAUGAAGAACGCAGUGAAAUGCGAUAAGUAAUGUGAAUUGCAGAAUUCAGUGAAUCAUCGAAUCUUUGACCGCACAUUGCGCCCGCCAGUAUUCUGGCGGGCAUGCCUGUUCGAGCGUCAUUACAACCCUCAGGCCCCCGGGCCUGGCGUUGGGGAUCGGCGGAAGCCCCCUGCGGGCACAACGCCGUCCCCCAAAUACAGUGGCGGUCCCGCCGCAGCUUCCAUUGCGUAGUAGCUAACACCUCGCAACUGGAGAGCGGCGCGGCCACGCCGUAAAACACCCAACUUCUGAAUGUUGACCUCGAAUCAGGUAGGAAUACCCGCUGAACUUAAGCAUAUCAAUAAGCGGAGGA